CAGUGACGAUUUCCGGUGGAUUUGUUGAGGAAAAUCCCUAAGGAUCAUGUUCGGAUUGGAGACUUUAAUUGGUUCUCCAAUGUAGAGUCCAAGUGACUAGAGUCCAAGGAGUGUUCGAGUUGGAGUCCAAUGCAGCCAAGGUGGGUAUUCCACUCACUGAGAAAAUAUAUAUUUUUAUAUGUAUUGGAUUGAUAAAAAUAUAUAUAUUGUUUAUGAAACUGAACCAACCA